rnacentral:rRNA from 1 species
AUUGAACGCUGGCGGCAGGCUUAACACAUGCAAGUCGAGCGGAGAGAGGUAGCUUGCUACUGAUCUUAGCGGCGGACGGGUGAGUAAUGCUUAGGAAUCUGCCUAUUAGUGGGGGACAACAUUUCGAAAGGAAUGCUAAUACCGCAUACGUCCUACGGGAGAAAGCAGGGGAUCUUCGGACCUUGCGCUAAUAGAUGAGCCUAAGUCGGAUUAGCUAGUUGGUGGGGUAAAGGCCUACCAAGGCGACGAUCUGUAGCGGGUCUGAGAGGAUGAUCCGCCACACUGGGACUGAGACACGGCCCAGACUCCUACGGGAGGCAGCAGUGGGGAAUAUUGGACAAUGGGCGGAAGCCUGAUCCAGCCAUGCCGCGUGUGUGAAGAAGGCUUUAUGGUUGUAAAGCACUUUAAGCGAGGAGGAGGCUACUUUAGUUAAUACCUAGAGAUAGUGGACGUUACUCGCAGAAUAAGCACCGGCUAACUCUGUGCCAGCAGCCGCAGUAA